CAGUGUGCUGCUUAAGUGUGAUGGGACACAAGUAUGGGGAGAGCACGAAACAGGAAAGAGGACACGGAGAGCGACACGAGAGGCACGGGCAGAAGACAGCGCACACGCACACGGCGAGAGCUACACGGCGAGAGCUGCACCGCGGAGUAGAGGCUACCCGAUGGAGGAUCUGCACGGACUGAAGGCAGAGCAGCAGAUACUCGAGACGAGGCCCGAGACGAGACCCGGGACCGGCGCAUGGAGGCAAGGCGACAGACACUUGGUCAACGCUCAUUUAAGCUAAAUAAAGGAAAGUGUAUAGCUGAGUUGGCCGGUGUGUGCGUGUGUAACCCCUCUGUCUGUGUGAACAUGUGACUGAGAACGCGUCUUGUCUUCCACAGCGGCAGUCCGUGGGAGGCAGAGCAGCGCAGCCAUGUGGAGAAGACGCCAAGAGACCGAAACGAACGGCGGGUAGACAACUUUACAAGGCCUACCUCUUGCUAUCCCUCCUCAGAGAAAGGAUUAAGUAAACAUUUCCCCAUCCAGAACGUCUCUCAGCACAGACAUUUUUGAGCUCUGGAAAGACUUUAUUGAGUGAUCUGGCUGAGUGAUAGCUUUUAUUUGGACACAUCCUCAUUCCUGUCAGCCAUUUUUAACUGCCCAUCAUUGUUGUGUGUUAACACUUUUUUUAGCCAUUGUUAAUCUCUGCAUUUGUCAAUGCUGUGAUUUUAUUGGUUUUAAAUAAAGUCUUCUUUUUAACAGUGGACAUACACAGUGCUGGUAUAGAAAAGAACCCCACACCUUUUGUGUGACAAUAUCACUGCUGUUAAACUCAGUGUGGGGUUCAAUGUCAGCUAAUUAAAAGUUAGUAUCCCAAAUGUUGUCUAAUUUACCCCAAAUCAAUUAGAUAGCCACCCCUGAAUUGACAGGUUGUGCCAGCGCGGGAGAGCCAAACCAAGGUUAACAGGGUUUUAGUUAACCGGAUGGUGUACAGAUUGCACGGGAUUUAAAUGGCAUUGGAUGAAUGAUCAGACUAGGUGUAGGGCUAAGGCAUGAACCUAGUUGUAUCCCAUACAUGAAAGGUACAAGGUGGUAAAAGGAUAAACCCUCGGCCUUUGCUGCAGACAUGACAGAGGUUAUCAUAACAGUUCAGAAAAAUAAUUGGGACAAAUGUUGCCUUUGUCUGGACACAAAAAAACUUCAUAAACCGAGUUUAUUCAACAGAGAAUGUGAUCUUACUGGUUAUGGUAACAUUGCAAGAAAUGUUCCAUUGUUUGCCGAGAUCGAUGCUCUCCCUAUCUUACAAAAUCCACGCUGACUAGAUGAAGGUGAUGGCAUUGAAAGCACGUUGACAAGAAACAAGGCAAGGUAUCAUCUAAGCUGCAGACUGUUGUUCAACAACACAAAGUUGGAAAGGGCCCAAAAGAGAGCAUCUUCUGCUGCUGCUGAAGACACAGAAGAUACCAAAGGUAUCAAGGUCAAGAGACCAAGAAGAUCCCAACCAUCGCAAGUGUUGUGCUUUAUCUGUGAAGAUGAGAGUGUAAUACCCCCCUUAAGAGAUGCGAUGACAAUGAAUGUGCCAGGAAUCUAAGUGACACGAAGCUCCUAGCAAAGCUUAGUGCUGGUGAUGUUGUUGCACAGGAAUUAAAGUACCAUCCUGCCUGUCUCAUUGGACUGUACAACAGAGAGAGAGCCCAUCUUAAUGCCCUCAGGCAUGAACAGAACUCCGGAAGCUCUGCGAGCCAUAACCUGUAUCAUUCAGCUUUUUCAGAACGUGUUCCAAUUAUCCAGUUAUCCAGAUCCAGUUAUAUUCAAGCUUAUAGAUCUUGUCUCUCUUUACAAGCAACAACUGCAGCAACUGGGUGUCGAAUCACCAAAUGUGAAUUCCACUAGACUGAAGGAGGCGCUGCUUUCAAGCAUACCUGAGCUAGAAGAACACAAGAUGGGGCAUGAUGUACUGCUUUCUUCCAAGAAGGACAUCAGCUCUGUUCUGUCUGAUGCGAUUGUAGCAGGGACACUUUGUGUUCAGGCUGUAUGACCCCCUGUGUGAAUUAGGUCAACUCCUCCCAGGUCCAGCCCCCUAAUCAACCUGAGGGUAUUUAAAGCACCUGUGGCAACAUGGCUGCCUUUUGCUCUUUCUGCCUGUUGGUUGCCACAUGGUCUCCUCUCUGUGAUUCUGAGUCUGUCUGCCUGGUUGUAUUGGUGUCCGCCUGCCUGAGGUUUUGGUGAUCCCUGACAGUGACCUGGAUGUUAACCCCCUCAAGUUUGCAUAGUCAAUGCAUCUUUAUGUCAAGUGGAGCUGGUUGCUGGCUAGUGGUGGAGGCUGGGACACCAUAUUGAACACCUGUUUGCUGUGAUUGCCAGUUGCCGUGAGAACACGAGUGGUGGGUGAGUUUGCACUGUUGGAACACACCUUUAGGUAGACUGCCUCCCCACUACUGGCCUCAGCCCACUAUUCCCUUGUCUAUCAUAGUUUUAGUUAUUCCUGCUGGAAGUUGUUUUUUUUUUUAAAGAAAAGUAAUGUUAAGAAUAAAUUCAUAAUUGUAAUAAAACCUUUUCUACAUUUCUAUCCAGA